rnacentral:lncRNA from 1 species
GCUUGGUUGUCUUUUCCUUUUUAAUUUUUCUAUUGUACUUUAUUAAAGUAAAAGCAUAAAUUAGAAUGAAGUAUAUUUUAUUAAUGAAUCAAGAAACUCUUCAAGAAAAUAUGUAUCUGCAUGAUCUUUCAAAUCAUCCUUGUACACAAAUUACAGAUUUUAGGAAUUCCAUUUUAUUUUUUUUUGGCAUGAGAAUAUGGAUCCACAAGAUUUCAAUAAUCGACACACUACCAAUAAUUGAGCCAAAUCUCGAGUAUCACAAGGAAUUUGCCUUUUCUACGGAGUCCUUUGGAUUGGAUCGAAAACAAUUCUUGAUCUCUAUACCAAUUCAACUCCAAUUCCACUUGAACGACUAUUUUCUUCACCAAUUUGCAGUGCAUUAGCUCUUGUUCUACAGAUUGGACAAGCAGCAGUUUUCAAAAGCCAUGAAUCUAUGCAUUGAACAUGAAAAAUAUGAUUACAAAUAGGUAGCAUCCUACACUUUUCACCUCCCUUGAAAUUCUCCAAACACACCACACAUUCUACUGAACUAUUCCCUUUCUCAUCGGCCUUGUAGUCGAAACAUGUCAGCUGUUUUAGGUCAACGGAUGACAAGCCCGGGAUUCGACUGACUCGACCCGGAAUAGAUAUUCGACCACUGAUAUAGUCCCCUCUGAAAGCCCUCCCAACAAUACAAACAUGAAUCAUGAUCAGAAUUGCUAUGCCAAUAACUAAUAGAAGUACAGAAAUGAUAAUUUGCAUGGACAUGGCCUUUGCUUGAGGAUCAUGUGAUUUGAAUGGAAAGGUUUCUGCAGACUCGAAUUCUAUUCCCAGAAGUUGUUUUCUUGGUGAGAAACUUGGUAGAUGGAAAGAAACUGAAAAAUG